rnacentral:tRNA from 1 species
UUUUAAUUAGUAAAGGAUGAAUAUAUCUUAUUUACACUAAGACUGCUCUAGGUUGAUAA